GGCGCUCUCGGGUGCAGCGGCUCUCCGGCGAGGUUCGUGUUUUGGUGAUUCGGCUCCGGUCAACCUGUAGAGAAAAGAAUGGUGAUCACGGUGAUAUAAAAAUUGCAUCGAACGGAGGCCGGGAAGGGCCUCGUCGGAGGCAAAAACCGAGAGGGGGCGCGGCGGCGCCGCUGGGCUUCGGCCGCGUAUUCCGGCCGUUUGGCCGGGAUUUCGGUUUCGAUUUGGCCAUAGGAGGAAUCAGUGGGGAAAAACGAGUCGGGGGUAUGAAAUUUACCUCGAUCGGCGGUCGGAAAUUUCCCCGGUGCGGCGGCGAGCGGCGGCGGGUGGCGGCGGUCGGCCUCUGGUUCGUCUUCUCCGGCGAGCGGCUGGCGGCUAGGGUUUGUGGUCUGGUGUGGGGGUUCUAUUUAUAACCCCUUGCCUUGUGAUCACAGCCGUUCA
rnacentral:lncRNA from 1 species